rnacentral:rRNA from 1 species
AAUCCAUAGGUUAAUGAGGCGAACCGGGGGAACUGAAACAUCUAAGUACCCCGAGGAAAAGAAAUCAACCGAGAUUCCCCCAGUAGCGGCGAGCGAACGGGGAGGAGCCCAGAGCCUGAAUCAGCAUGUGUGUUAGUGGAAGCGUCUGGAAAGGCGCGCGAUACAGGGUGACAGCCCCGUACACAAAAGCGCAUGUGCUGUGAGCUCGAUGAGUAGGGCGGGACACGUGGUAUCCUGUCUGAAUAUGGGGGGACCAUCCUCCAAGGCUAAAUACUCCUGACUGACCGAUAGUGAACCAGUACCGUGAGGGAAAGGCGAAAAGAACCCCGGCGAGGGGAGUGAAAAAGAACCUGAAACCGUGUACGUACAAGCAGUGGGAGCACAGGUUUACCUGUGUGACUGCGUACCUUUUGUAUAAUGGGUCAGCGACUUAUAUUCUGUAGCAAGGUUAACCGAAUAGGGGAGCCGGAGGGAAACCGAGUCUUAAUUGGGCGUUAAGUUGCAGGGUAUAGACCCGAAACCCGGUGAUCUAGCCAUGGGCAGGUUGAAGGUUGGGUAACACUAACUGGAGGACCGAACCGACUAAUGUUGAAAAAUUAGCGGAUGACCUGUGGCUGGGGGUGAAAGGCCAAUCAAACCGGGAGAUAGCUGGUUCUCCCCGAAAGCUAUUUAGGUAGCGCCUCGUGAAUUCAUCUCCGGGGGUAGAGCACUGUUUCGGCUAGGGGGCCAUCCCGGCUUACCAACCCGAUGCAAACUGCGAAUACCGGAGAAUGUUAUCACGGGAGACACACGGCGGGUGCUAACGUCCGUCGUGAAGAGGGAAACAACCCAGACCGCCAGCUAAGGUCCCAAAGUCAUGGUUAAGUGGGAAACGAUGUGGGAAGGCCCAGACAGCCAGGAUGUUGGCUUAGAAGCAGCCAUCAUUUAAAGAAAGCGUAAUAGCUCACUGGUCGAGUCGGCCUGCGCGGAAGAUGUAACGGGGCUAAACCAUGCACCGAAGCUGCGGCAGCGACACUGUGUGUUGUUGGGUAGGGGAGCGUUCUGUAAGCCUGUGAAGGUGUGUCGUGA